CAGAAGGGCACGAGCCAAGGCAGAGAAGUAUUAAAAGUACGGUAUUACUGAGGGAAAUGAAUUCUGAGUUCCAAACAACUGAUUUACAAAUGAACAUUUGGAAAGCUACCCAUUUGUAAGUGGAAGACUUCUUUCAUCCUAUAUUUUCUGCAUUCUAAGCGGCCAAGACAGCCAAGCGAUUUCCCCAGGAAUGAAUGGUGCGGGUAAAGCCAUGGUGACAGCCGAAUGUGACUCUCUUUACUAUAAGUCAAAAACUGAAGAAGAAAAAAAAAAAGAGAGAA